rnacentral:rRNA from 1 species
GUAGAAUUGCAAGUGGAGGAAUAAAAUCCAAAGAUUUUUGCAGGAAUAUCGAAAGUGAAAGCAACAAACUAGUUUUAUACUGACGCUGAUUCACGAAAGUUUAGGUAGCGACCAGGAUUAGAGACCCUGUUAGUCUAAACUGUAAACGAUGAGCACUCAUUUUUGGGGUUAAAAUCUCAGAAGUUUAGCUAACGCGUUAAGUGCUCCACCUGAGAAGUACAGUGGCAACAUUGAAACUCAAAAGAAUUGACGGGGAUUUAUACGAUUCUUGGAACAUGCGAUUUAAUGCGUCAAUACUCGUCAAACCUUACCAACUUUUGAAUCUUUUAUAUUCUAAUGAAGCAAAUCAUUAUGUUAAAAAUGACAGGUGCUGCAUGGCUGUUGUCAGCUCGUGUUUUGAGAUGUUAGGUUAGGUCCAGUAACGAGCGAAACCCUUGUUCUUUAUUACAAAGCAUAAUUUG